UUCUGGUUGAUCCCGCCGGAGGUCACUGCUAUUGGGAUUCGACUAAGCCAUGCGAGUCGAGAGGGUUCGGCCCUCGGCAGACGGCUCAGUAACACGUGGAUAAUCUGCCCUUAGGUGGAGGAUAAUCUCGGGAAACUGAGGAUAAUACUCCAUAGAUCUAGGAUGCUGGAAUGCACUUAGAUUAAAAGUUCCGGCGCCUAAGGAUGAGUCUGCGGACUAUCAGGUAGUAGUCAGGGUAAAGGCCUGACUAGCCUACGACGGAUACGGGUUGUGAGAGCAAUAACCCGGAGACGAUAUCUGAGACACGAUAUCGGGCCCUACGGGGCGCAGCAGGCGCGAAAACUUCACACUGUGCGAAAGCACGAUGAGGGAAUCCCAAGUGCUUGCUCGUAAGAGUAAGCUGUUUUUAUGUCUAAAAAGCAUAGAGAGUAAGGGCUGGGUAAGACGGGUGCCAGCCGCCGCGGUAA
rnacentral:rRNA from 1 species